rnacentral:rRNA from 1 species
UGGGGAAUAUUGCACAAUGGAGGAAACUCUGAUGCAGCGACGCCGCGUGAACGAUGAAGGCCUUCGGGUCGUAAAGUUCUGUCCUAGGGGACGAUAAUGACGGUACCCUAGGAGGAAGCCCCGGCUAACUACGUGCCAGCAGCCGCGGUAAUACGUAGGGGGCGAGCGUUGUCCGGAAUUAUUGGGCGUAAAGGGUUCGUAGGCGGUCUUUUAAGUCAGAUGUGAAAGGUCACGGCUCAACCGUGGUAAGCAUUUGAAACUGAAAGACUUGAGUUAAGGAGAGGAAAGUGGAAUUCCUAGUGUAGCGGUGAAAUGCGUAGAUAUUAGGAGGAAUACCAGUGGCGAAGGCGACUUUCUGGACUUAUACUGACGCUGAGGAACGAAAGCGUGGGGAGCAAACAGG